UCCCUAGUAGCUUGGACGGUAAAGCGUCUGCCUACAAUGCAGGAGACCCAGGUUCAAUCCCUGGGUCAGGAU
rfam:Ovis aries breed Texel chromosome 10, whole genome shotgun sequence.